rnacentral:rRNA from 1 species
UGGAUCCACACUUUGAUCAUGGCUCAGGAUGAACGCUAGCUACAGGCUUAACACAUGCAAGUCGAGGGGAAACGACAUCGAAAGCUUGCUUUUGAUGGGCGUCGACCGGCGCACGGGUGAGUAACGCGUAUCCAACCUGCCCACCACUUGGGGAUAACCUUGCGAAAGUAAGACUAAUACCCAAUGAUAUCUCUAGAAGGCAUCAGAAAGAGAUUAAAGAUUUAUCGGUGAUGGAUGGGGAUGCGUCUGAUUAGCUUGUUGGCGGGGUAACGGCCCACCAAGGCGACGAUCAGUAGGGGUUCUGAGAGGAAGGCCCCCCACAUUGGAACUGAGACACGGUCCAAACUCCCACGGGAGGCAGCAGUGAGGAAUAUUGGUCAAUGGGCGAGAGCCUGAACCAGCCAAGUAGCGUGCAGGACGACGGCCCUAUGGGUUGUAAACUGCUUUUAUAGGGGAAUAAAGUGAGUCUCGUGAGACUUUUUGCAUGUACCUUAUGAAUAAGGACCGGCUAAUUCCGUGCCAGCAGCCGCGGUAAUACGGAAGGUCCGGGCGUUAUCCGGAUUUAUUGGGUUUAAAGGGAGCGUAGGCCGGAGAUUAAGCGUGUUGUGAAAUGUAGUGGCUCAACCUCUGCACUGCAGCGCGAACUGGUCUUCUUGAGUACGCACAACGUGGGCGGAAUUCGUGGUGUAGCGGUGAAAUGCUUAGAUAUCACGAAGAACUCCGAUUGCGAAGGCAGCUCACGGGAGCGCAACUGACGCUGAAGCUCGAAAGUGCGGGUAUCGAACAGGAUUAGAUACCCUGGUAGUCCGCACGGUAAACGAUGGAUGCCCGCUGUUGGCCUGAAUAGGUCAGCGGCCAGGCGAAAGCAUUAAGCAUCCCACCUGGGGAGUACGCCGGCAACGGUGCAACUCAAAUGAAUUGACGGA